rnacentral:lncRNA from 1 species
UUUUUGGGGAAAUUUUUGGGGAUUUUUUUGGAAAUUUGGGGGUAAAUUCUGUGGAUUUUUGGGUUUUUUGGGGGGGAAUUUUUGGGGGAUUUUUGGGGAUUUUUUCGGGAAUUUUUUGGGAUUUUUUUGGGGAUUUUUCGGGGAAUUUUUGGGGAAUUUUUCGGGUCCAUUUUGUGGAAUUUUGGGGGAGUUUUGGACAAAUUUGGGGGGAAUUUGGGGAAUUUGGGGGAGUCCCAGGUGAGUUCCAGCUGUAUCCAGGUGUCCCCAGCUGUCCCCAGGUGUGUCCAGGUGUCCCCAGGUGUCCCCAGGUGUAUCUCAGGUGUGUCUCAGGUGUGUCUCAGGUGUGUCCAGGUGUCCCCAGUUGUAUCUCAGGUGUCUCCAGGUGUGUCCAGGUGA